UACGUAGGUGGCGAGCGUUAUCCGGAAUGAUUGGGCGUAAAGGGUGCGUAGGCGGCCUGCUAAGUCUGGAGUGAAAGGUACCGGCUCAACCGGUACAGGCUCUGGAAACUGGCAGCCUCGAGUGCGGUAGGGGUAAGCGGAAUUCCCGGUGUAGCGGUGGAAUGCGCAGAUAUCGGGAAGAACACCGAUGGCGAAGGCAGCUUACUGGGCCGACACUGACGCUGAGGCGCGAAAGCUAGGGGAGCGAACAGG
rnacentral:rRNA from 1 species